GUGCUCACUUCAGCAACAUAUAGUAAAAAAUUAGAAUACAGAGAAGAUUAGCAAGGCCCCAUGCAAGGAUGACUGGCAAAUUUGUGAAGUGUUCCAUGUUUAA